ensembl:lncRNA
GGCGGAGUGAUCAGAAUGCACAAGAAGGUAAAACUCGUCACCACGGGCGCUGGCUUGCUGCAGAACAUCAAGGUAAAGCUGUGCAGGAACCCGCGGCGGUCUAUUUGAAGUAGGUGAGGGAAGCAAGGUUUUUGUUAUUGUUAAUUACCUUCUUUGUAGUGAGUCUAGAGGAAUAGGCCUCUCCUCCUGUCUCACUUUUCCUGUGUAUUUACUCCUCCAACUUACCUUUUUCCCUCUAUUUCUUCAGUUUUUUAAUUUCCUUACUCCAACAAGCUUUCUCCCCCCCUCGCCCCCCCCCCCCCUUUUUUUUUGUCAUUUUUCUCUCUGCUUCCUGCAAACUCAAUCCCAGUUUUACAUGUUUCUCCCUCUUCUUCUCUUGUUACAGCUCAACUCUUUCUUCCUUAUUGGAAGAAGAAGAGUAUGUAGCAAUUAGUUUCCCUCCCUCCUCUCUCUCCACGCAACACACACAAUCCAUCUUUUUUCCUACUUUCUCCUCUUUUCAGCUCUAAUUUGGCCCCCUCUGCUUUCAGUUUUCCUCUUUCACCCCCUUUAUUUUGCUUUUCUCUUCUCCUGUCUUCAUUUGUUCUUUUGUCUUUCCACACUUGUUCUUUUUAAUCUGUUUUCCUCUGUGUUGCCGCCUCGUCUUCCCAUUUUUCCUCCUCCAUCUUUCUCAAGUAAAGUCACGGCUAUUCAUAUAGCACAUUUACAAACAACAGCAGUUAGUCCAGUGUGCUUUCCAGUGUCAAAGCAAAUCCUAGUAUAUGAAAAAUACACAUCUAAAGAGAUAAAGAGCAAGAUAAAAAAAAUAAAAUUAAAUGAAACGCGCACAAAGCAAAGAGAAAGAAAAAUCACAGUAAAAACAACACAUUAAAAAUAUAAUAGGAAGACUUUAAAUUGAAAUAAAUAUCAUUAUUGGUCGCAAAAAUAAUAUAAUCCAUUUAAUCAAAAACGACAGGAUAAAAAUUAAACAUUAGAGCUCCAAAAUAAUCAGUCAUUAGAGCUCCAAAAUAAUUGAGAUGUGUAGUGUUGCCUAGUUCCCAUAAUCACAUAACAAGCACACCCUUCUAGUUUUGCGAGUUGUUUAAAGACUUCAGUCAUGCAGACCCAGAGAACAAGUGCCUUGUGACAACCACCAGUCGCUAUGUAAACAUGUUUACUUAACCAGUUGCAAGUGGAGGCUGGGUAUCACCAAGUGAAAUUGGUUGCAAAAAGAUAUAUCGUGCUGCACCAAAAAACUUCCUUGUGAUUGCUUUUGUCACUGGGAGGUUGUUGUGGUCACCUGUAGUUUGCAUGGAAGACACUGGCACGUCUACAAACAGUCGUCAAGUGUGAAAAGACCAACACAAAUUUUCUCUAUUUCCUGAGAAUCUGACCUACUGUUCACUGAAACCUCAUCAGAAAUGGUCGCAAGCCAUUCUUCAGGAAGGGAAACAGGGAGAUUAAAGAAUUAAAGAAGAUCAGUCAUAAUAAAUCUAGUAGGGGAAUGAAGUCAAAAUUUAAAUGUUUGCCUCAAAUCAUCAUCAGUGUGUACCGUUUUUCCGCACUAUAAGGUGCACUUAAAAUCCUUUAAUUUUCUCAAAAAUUGGCAAUGCGCCUUAUCUAUGAAUUCUGGCUGUGUUUACUGACCUCGAACCGAUUUUAUUUUUUUAUUUUUAUUUUUUUUGUGGUACAUGGCGCUCAAAAAAUGUUUGUUUUAGUAGGACUUUGCUAAGCUACGAAGCCGCACCGCUUGAUGCAUUGUCUGAGUGUUAUGGCUACCGUAGUCAGGAGCCUCACGGCUCAUAGUAAUCUGGGUCCAAAACUCCGUCCGCGUCAGGUCCCAAACGAAUACUGUGUAAAUUGUUUCAUCUUUAAUAAAAUGAUUGCUGCUUUACCAGGUGUAACAAUUACGUUUAACAUUCAGGCAUCCAUGAAAACAGAAUUUAUUAAAUUUAACGGAGUUAUAAGUUAGCAAGAAGUUAGCAGAAAGUUAGCUCGCUUGUUUCGCUAGUUACCUAAAAAUGAUAUACCAUGUUCUGACUGAGAGGUUUCUGGGCAAAAGUAAAAUGUACAGCUCUGCUAUCACUUCCAACAUGAAUGAAGACAGAAAACUACACAGCAGUGAUGUUUGUAGGGCUACUGAAGUUGGACUAGCUGGUAUAUAAUGCUGUGAUAGUGAUCGCUAGCGACACAGCUAUUUUAGCAUAACUCAGUGGGCCCAAAACUGUUCGCUUCAGGUCCUAAAGUCACACGAACACUGCGGCAUCACUGAGA